GCUAAUACCAUUCGAAUAGUAUCCCAUCUUGCUAUAGGAGCGAACACCUCAUUAUAGUUUAUCCCCUUUUCUUGAGCAUAUCCCUUGGCCACCAGUCUUGCCUUGCACUUACAAUUUCUCUAUUUUUAUUUAAUUUUUUUCGAUAGACCCACUUGACUCCAAUCAUUUUCACAUCGGAGGGAGCUUUUACCAGUUUCUAUGAUGAUUCUUCUUUAUUGCUUCAAUUUCAAGAUCCAUUGUCUUCCUCCAAUCUUUUAAUUUUACUUCUUGUUCAUAAGAUAAAUAAUCAUCAAUAGGUAAAAAUAACACAAAGUUUUGUACCUCAUCUUCUGAAAGACCUUCUUCACUCGUGUAAUCAUCUAGAUAUGCUGGAGCCCUUCUUUCUCAAGUUUGAGGAGAUACUGCUUCAUCAUUGGAGAGAUUUGCUACAUCAGUUGAGGUGGAGUUCUCAUCAGUUGAAUUUUUUUCAUUUAAAUCUGAUUCAUCUUCAUCAUUUUGAUUGUAUUCUUCUUCAUAGGCUUCUCCUCAAUCUGAUACAUCAUUUAUGGUUUCUUCUUUUAUACUGCUCCAAUUUUUGCUUUCAUGUUCUUCAAAAACCACGUCUCUGCUGAUGGUGAUUUUUUUGUCAGUGGAUCAAUAAUUUUGUAACCUUUGGAUUCGUCGCUGUAACCGAUCAGAACUUGGUUUUGGCUUCUUGCAUCUAGUUAUUGUCUUUUUGCCUCGGAUACAUGAACAUUUCCAAUGCAUCCAAACACCCGAAAGUAUUCAAUAUUGGGUUUGAGGUUACUCCAAUAUUCUUUAGGAGUUUUAUUCUUCAAGCAGCCAGUAGGACUUUUGUUUAACACAUGGCACGUCCAUUUUACAACAUUUAGCCAGAAUAUUUUGGGCAUCUUUUUUUCUUCAAGCAUGAAUCUCACCAUGUUGAGAAUGGUAUGGUUUUUACACUCAGCAACUCUAUUUUGCUGAGGCAUAUAAGCUGUUGUGAGUUGCCUUUUGAUGCCUUGUACCUUGCAAAAAUUUGAGAACUCCUCAGAGUUAAAUUCUUCUCCUCUGUCUGUUCUUAAAUCGUACAAUGAUAAACUAGACUCUUUCUCCACCAUUAUUUUGAAAUUUUUGAAAGUUAUAAAUGCCUCACUCUUCUCAUUCAGAAAAUAAACCCACAACUUUUGACUAAAAUCAUAUACGAAAGUUAACAGAUACCUCUUUUUGCUAUAUGAUGCAGGUGAAAUGGGGCCACAAAUAUCAAAGUGGAUGAGCUGCAGUUGCUUUGCUGCUCUCUAUUUACUUUUCUUUGGAAUAGCUUCUUUAUGUUGUUUCAUUUUCAUGCAGCCAGUGUAUCUAUUUGUUGGUGUUCUGAUUUUUGGAAUCCCUUGAACCAUCUUCUUAGUAUGCAAUAAUACCAAAUGUUUGUAACUCAAAUGUCCAUAUUGUUUGUGCUGAAUAUUGCUGGAAUCCUCAUUGUAUAUGUUAAAAUAGGAGGUUGAUGUCAUGAGAAUAUUUGUGGUGACCACAAACAUCCUAUUGGCAGUCAUUGUACUUUCCAUUAUAAGCCCACGAGUUGGAUGGUAUAGCUUGCAAGGUCCAUGUUUGAUUAGAAUAGUGAUGCCUCGAUCUUGUGAUUGGCCUAUACUGAGUAAAUUAUUGCUUAAAUCAGGUAUAAAAUACACAUCCCUUAUUGUUUAGACUUUUCUUCCAAAUUUCAGCUUGAUGUCUCAUUUCUCUUUCACCAUAAGUUUAGAGUCGUUCCCAAGUUUUACCGAAUGCUUGAAUCCUUCAUCAAGUCUUAUGAACCAUUCUUUAUUUCCAGACAUGUGAUUUGAACACCCGAAAUCGAGAAACCGUAUUCCUUCCCUUUUGUUUUGCUUUAGAUCUACUUAUGCCAUCAGUAGCAUCUCGGCUUCAUAAUCAAUUUCUGCAUAAUGAGCUUUCUUUUCCUAAUUGGGACAUUCAUACUGAUAAUGCCCCAAAUUGUGACACUUUUAGCAUUCUACAGUUGCUUUAUCUAUAUUCUGCCUGCCACAACCUCGAGUCCAGCCUCUACCUCUUGCACCUCGAUCUUAAUUUGUGACCUUCAAGACCUGCUCUUCCUCAACUAGGCUUGCCAUUCUUUGUUCAUGAAUCAAUAGACUGCUCUAAAGUUCAUCUACUCUUAGGGCCUCAACAGUGUUUGAUUCCUCAAUUGAGCAUACAACAUAAUUAAAUUUAGGAACUAAGGAUCGCAGAAUCUUCCCUGUAAUAUCAGCUUCUUUGACAUUCUCUCCACAUGCUUUCAUAUUCUUGGCAAUUGAGAGAGUUCUUCCAAAAUAAACAUUGACAGUUUCUCCUUCCUUCAUUCUCAAUAUUUCAAACUCAGUUUUUAGACCUUGAAGUUGUGCUCUCUUGACCCUUAUUGAUCUAUUGAAUUUAUGCUUCAUUGAAUCUCAUAUUUUUUUAGAUGUUUCAUCAUUGAGAAUGGUCUCCAUGAUUUCUCUACUUAUUGCUUGGUAGAGAUAAUACUUCACUUUCUUGUUUUUCAAUUGUUGUUCUUCAAACAGCUUUACCUCUUCUUCAGAUGGUUCUCUCCCUGCUGGAAUUUCAUCUAUUCCAUCUUCUAUUAGGCUCCAAAAUUCCUUUGCUCGAAGGAAAUUCUCCAUCAACUUUGCCCGGUGUUUAUAGCAUCCAUCAAACUUGGGAACAGUAGGUUGCACAAACGCACCACUGUUGGAACUGCUUUCCGUCAUUCUUCACACUCUUCUCUCGUGUUCCUCUCAAAAGAAAACUCUAUUCUUUUCUUCAAUCAGGCCUCUUGGACCUGGCUCUUGAAACCAAAUGUAAAAUAAAAUGAUGAACUUAAUAAAGAAAUGCAACACAAUGCAAUCUGUAGUUCUCAUAACUUUGAAAGUAAACAGCAGUGGCUUUAAAUAGCUUUACAAAAACAGAAAAGCUAAAAAAAAAAAGCUAACAUCUCCCAUUAACUCAGGAAACUAAAAAAAAAAAAUCAAAAACAAUAAAAAACUAAGAUAUGCUCCUAAUAAUUAAGAACUUAUUCAACAAACAUUAGACCUAACAAUUAGGAGUCAGUUUGUUUGGAAGUUGUUUUUAUUUUCCAUUGAGCAGUUUUGAUGUAAGAGGAAGACUUAAAUUACUUUGUAAAUAAUCUCUCAGUUCUUUUCUUUGAGACAAAUUAUUUUUGCUGCAAGAAAUGUUCUAAAAAGUGUUAAAGGGGAGAUUGGUUAGAUAUUUAGUUGUGGAACAUGUCUGGAGCAACUUAUGCCAACAU
rnacentral:lncRNA from 1 species